rnacentral:lncRNA from 1 species
AUCCCAUAGUAACCCCAUAGGUAUAGGCCAUAAUAGCCCAUGGACAUCCCAUAAUAACACCAUAGGUAUGUCCCAUAAUAACCCAUGGACAUCCCAUAGUAACCCCAUAGGUAUUGCCCAUGGACAUCCCAUAAUAACCUCAUAGGUAUAGCCCAUAAUAGCCCGUGGGCAUCCCAUAGUAACCCCAUAGGUAUAGCCCAUAAUAACCCAUGGACAUCCCAUAAUAAUCCCAUAGGUAUGUCCCAUAAUAGCCCGUGGACAUCCCAUAGUAACCCCAUAGGUAUAUCCCAUAAUAGCCCGUGGACAUCCCAUAAUAACCCCAUGGAUAUGUCCCAUAAUAGCCCAUGGACAUCCCAUAAUAACCCCAUAGGUGUAUCCAUCCCAUAAUAGCCCAUGGACAUCCCAUAAUAACCCCAUAGGUAUGUCCCACAGAUAUCCCAUCAUAACCGCAUAGAUAGCCCAUAGACAUCCCAUGGACAUCCCAUAAUAACCCCAUGGAUAUAUCCUAUAGAUAUCCCAUAAUAACCCCGUAGAUAUCCCAUAAUAAUCCCAUAGAUAUCCCAUAGAUAUCCCAUAAUAACCCCCUGGACAUCCCAUAAUAACCCCACGGAUAUAUCCCAUAAUAACCCCAUAGAUAUCCCAUAAUAGCCCAUGGACAUCCCAUAGUAACCCCAUAGGUAUUGCCCAUGGACAUCCCAUAAUAACCCCGCGGAUAUAUCCCAUGGACAUCCCAUAAUAACCCCAUAGAAACCCCAUGGACAUCCCAUAAUAACCCCAUAGAUAGCCCAUAAUAGCCCGUGGACAUCCCAUAAUAACCCCAUAGGUAUGUCCCAUAAUAACCGGUGGACAUCCCAUAAUAACCCCAUGGAUAUGUCCCAUAAUAGCCCGUGGACAUCCCAUAAUAACCCCAUAGGUAUGUCCCAUGGACAUCCCAUAAUAACCCCAUAGGUAUGUCCCAUAGGUAUCCCAUAAUAACCCCAUAGGUAUCCCAUAAUAACCCCAUGGAUAUAUCCCACAGACAUCCCGUAAUAGCCCCAUAGAAACCCCAUGGACAUCCCAUAAUAACCCCAUAGGUAUAUCCCAUAAUAGCCCAUAGACAUCCCAUAAUAACCCCAUGGAAACCCCAUGGACAUCCCAUAAUAACGCCAUGGAUAGCCCAUAAUAAUCCCAUAGAUAUCCCAUAGAAAUCCUAUAGACAUCCCAUAAUAACCCCAUAGAUAUAUCCCAUAAUAACCCCAUGGACAUCCCAUAAUAACCCCAUAAUAACCCCAUAAUGACCCCAUAAUGACCCCACGGACAUCCCAUAAUAACCCCACAGGUACCCCAUAGAAACCCCAUA